GACGAACGCUGGCGGCGUGCUUAACACAUGCAAGUCGAACGCUGACGCAUGGUGCUUGCGCUGGUUGGAUGAGUGGCGAACGGGUGAGUAAUACGUGAGUAACCUGCCCUUGACUCUGGGAUAAGCCUGGGAAACUGGGUCUAAUACUGGAUACGACAUGCCACUGCAUGGUGCAGUGUGGAAUGGGUUUUUCUGGUUUUGGAUGGGCUCACGGCCUAUCAGCUUGUUGGUGGGGUAAUGGCCUACCAAGGCGACGACGGGUAGCCGGCCUGAGAGGGUGAACGGCCACACUGCGACUGAGAGACGGCCCAGACUCCUACGGGAGGCAGCAGUGGGGAAUAUUGCACAGUGAGACGAAGCCUGAUGCAGCGACGCCGCGUGAGGGAUGACGGCCUUCGGGUUGUAAACCUCUUUCAGCACGGAAGAAGCGAGAGUGACGGUACGUGCAGAAGAAGCGCCGGCUAACUACGUG
rnacentral:rRNA from 1 species